rnacentral:rRNA from 1 species
UACGUAGGGUGCGAGCGUUGUCCGGAAUUACUGGGCGUAAGGAGCUCGUAGGCGGCUUGUCGCGUUGUUCGUGAAAAUUUACCGCUCAACGGUGAACUUGCGGGCGAUACGGGCAGGCUAGAGUACUGCAGGGGAGACUGGAAUUCCUGGUGUAGCGGUGAAAUGCGCAGAUAUCAGGAGGAACACCGGUGGCGAAGGCGGGUCUCUGGGCAGUAACUGACGCUGAGGAGCGAAAGCGUGGGGAGCGAACAGG